GAAAGGCGUAGCCGAUGCACAGACGGUAGAGAUUCCGUCCCCACCGAAAGAUUUAAGCGCAGGGACACUUUUAGAAGGUCGGAGCCAGGUGUUGGUUCUGGUAGAGAUCGAGGGAAAUUUAGUACCGAAGUCCGGCUGGAUAAGAGGCGAGAAAAGCUGCGUGUAUAUCUAAGGUGCCCGUACCGCAAACCGACACAGGUAGGUAGGAAGAAGAUUCUAAGGCCAACGGGAGAAGGGUUGUUAAGGAACUCGGCAAGUUGACCCCGUAACUUCGGAAUAAGGGGUGCUCAUGAAAGUGAGCCGCAGAGAAUAGGCCCAGGCAACUGUUUACCAAAAACACAGGUUUGUGCUAAAUCGAAAGAUGACGUAUACGAGCUGACGCCUGCCCGGUGCUGGAAGGUUAAAAGGAGAUGUGCAAGCAUUGAAUUGAAGCCCCAGUGAACGGCGGCCGUAACUAUAACGGUCCUAAGGUAGCGAAAUUCCUUGUCAGGUAAGUUCUGACCCGCAUGAAAGGCGUAAUGAUCUGGGCACUGUCUCAACAGCCCGCCCGGCGAAAUUGUAGUACCGGUGAAGAUGCCGGUUACCCGCGACAAGACGGAAAGACCCCAUGGAGCUUUACUGUAGCCUAAUAUUGGGUUUCGGUGUUGCAUGCACAGGAUAGAUGGGACGCUAGGAAGUGAGUGCUUUGGCAUUCAUGGAGCGGCCGUUGGGAUACCAUCCUUGCGACAUUGGAAUUCUAACCUGCGCCUUUGAAUCAAGGCGGGGGACAUUGUUAGGUGGGCAGUUUGACUGGGGCGGUCGCCUCCUAAAGAGUAGCGGAGGCGUUCAAAGGUUGGCUCGUCCUGGACGGAAACCAGGAGAGAGAGUGCAAACGCAAAAGCCAGCCUGACUGCGAGACUGACGGGUCGAGCAGAGACGAAAGUCGGAGUUAGUGAUCCGGUGGUAUGUGAGUGGAAAUGCCAUCGCUCAACGGAUAAAAGUUACCCUGGGGAUAACAGGCUGAUCUCCCCCAAGAGUCCACAUCGACGGGGAGGUUUGGCACCUCGAUGUCGGCUCAUCGCAUCCUGGGGCUGAAGUCGGUUCCAAGGGUUGGGCUGUUCGCCCAUUAAAGCGGUACGCGAGCUGGGUUCAGAACGUCGUGAGACAGUUCGGUCCCUAUCUGUCGUGGGCGCAGGAUAUUUGAAAGGCGCUGUCCCUAGUACGAGAGGACCGGGAUGGACGAACCUCUGGUGCACCAGUUGUCACGCCAGUGGCACAGCUGGGCAGCUAUGUUCGGAUCGGAUAAACGCUGAAAGCAUCUAAGCGUGAAGCCGGCCUUAAGAUAAGAUAUCCCACUGAGAUAAUCAGGUAAGACCCCUUGAAGACUACAAGGUUGAUAGGCACAAUGUGUAAGUGGCGUGAGUCAUUGAGCAAGCGUGUACUAAUAGGUCGAGGGCUUGACCC
rnacentral:rRNA from 1 species